UACAGAGGUCUCAAGCGUUGUUCGGAUUUAUUGGGCGUAAAGGGCGCGUAGGUGGCGCCGUAAGUCGGGUGUGAAAUUUCGGAGCUUAACUCCGAAACUGCAUUCGAUACUGCGGUGCUUGAGGACUGGAGAGGAGACUGGAAUUCAUGGUGUAGCAGUGAAAUGCGUAGAGAUCAUGAGGAAGACCAGUGGCGAAGGCGGGUCUCUGGACAGUUCCUGACGCUGAGGCGCGAAGGCCAGGGGAGCAAACGGG
rnacentral:rRNA from 1 species